rnacentral:rRNA from 1 species
UAAGGGCGCACGGUGGAUGCCUUGGCACUAGAAGCCGAUGAAGGACGUUACUAACGACGAUAUGCUUUGGGGAGCUGUAAGUAAGCUUUGAUCCAGAGAUUUCCGAAUGGGGAAACCCAGCAUGAGUUAUGUCAUGUUAUCGAUAUGUGAAUACAUAGCAUAUCAGAAGGCACACCCGGAGAACUGAAACAUCUUAGUACCCGGAGGAAGAGAAAGAAAAUUCGAUUCCCUUAGUAGCGGCGAGCGAAACGGGAAGAGCCCAAACCAACAAGCUUGCUUGUUGGGGUUGUAGGACACUCUAUACGGAGUUACAAAGGACGACAUUAGACGAAUCAUCUGGAAAGAUGAAUCAAAGAAGGUAAUAAUCCUGUAGUCGAAAAUGUUGUCUCUCUUGAGUGGAUCCUGAGUACGACGGAGCACGUGAAAUUCC